rnacentral:rRNA from 1 species
CGGGGUGAGUAAUGUAUGGGGAUCUGCCUGAUGGCGGGGGAUAACUACUGGAAACGGUAGCUAAUACCGCAUAACGCCGCAAGACCAAAGAGGGGGACCUUCGGGCCUCUUGCCAUCGGAUGUGCCCAGAUGGGAUUAGCUAGUAGGUGGGGUAACGGCUCACCUAGGCGACGAUCCCUAGCUGGUCUGAGAGGAUGACCAGCCACACUGGAACUGAGACACGGUCCAG